rnacentral:SRP_RNA from 1 species
CCGUGCAGCCGGGGAAGUAGCGGAGCCCUGUACCUUCAAUCCGCUCUAGUAGGGGUGAUAUCCUGCCGAGGGUCUUGAUCUGUAUGGCAGCCCUGCAUAAGUGACGUUGAUGUUCGGGUCUUGCGCAAUGGGAAUCUGUGAACCGUGUCAGGUUGGGAACAAAGCAGCACUAAGCAGAACCUUCCAUGUGCCGUGAGGGCGCCUGGGCUGAGUUAACUGUGCAGGUAACGCAUAUGGAUUUUGCUCGACGCAGGAUGCACGG